rnacentral:rRNA from 1 species
GAUGAACGCUGGCGGCGUGCCUAAUACAUGCAAGUCGAGCGAACAGACGAGGAGCUUGCUCCUCUGACGUUAGCGGCGGACGGGUGAGUAACACGUGGAUAACCUACCUAUAACACUGGGAUAACUUCGGGAAACCGGAGCUAAUACCGGAUAAUAUAUUGAACCGCAUGGUUCAAUAGUGAAAGACGGUUUUGCUGUCACUUAUAGAUGGAUCCGCGCCGCAUUAGCUAGUUGGUAAGGUAACGGCUUACCAAGGCAACGAUGCGUAGCCGAGCUGAGAGGGUGAUCGGCCACACUGGAACUGAGACACGGUCCAGACGCCUACGGGAGGCAGCAGUAGGGAAUCGUACGCAAUGGGCGAAAGCCUGACGGAGCAACGCCGCGUGAGUGAUGAAGGUCUUCGGAUAGUAAAACUCUGUUAUUAGGGAAGAACAAAUGUGUAAGUAACUAUGAACGUCUUGACGGUACCUAAUCAGAAAGCCACGGCUAACUACGUG